rnacentral:lncRNA from 1 species
AUAUCUUUUCGACCCUUUAAUUGUCUGUUGUUCAGACCAGAAAAACGUUGUUCUCUUUUGGGCAUGUGUUAGAUCAAGGCCCCGUUUGGAUUAGCUUAUUUUUGAGCUUAUGCAAACAGCUUAUGCAAUUUUUAUGUAUUAUUAUAAGUUUGUCGAGGUAGUUUUUGAUAAAAUAGCUUAUAAAAAUACAAUUUUCACUAGUGUGAACUUAUAAAAUAGCAUAAAACCUAAUUUAUAUUGCAUAAGUUGUUUGCAUAAGCUCAAAAAUAAGCUAAUCCAAACGGGUAGUAAAUCCUGCUAUCAUUUUGACCAUAAAGUACCUCAUUGUGCAUCAAACAUUGUUGAUAGGUUAUACCACAGAUCAGAGAGGGAAAUGGAUUAUGUCACCUCUCCUACAUGAGGACAACUUCACGUAGCGAAUCGUCAAUUAUAUGUGCAUAUCUGAUGUGACAUUAAGUCUUACAUCAGGUAUCUACUGAGCUGAAUAUGCUCUAUAGGAAAAUUAUUUUAGUUUCUUGCAUUACUUUGUUUGGUCAUUUUGAAUUAGGCAUAGAGAUUGAAGCACGGCACAGUAAAGAUUACAUUUUGUAGGUUUUUCGUGCAUAUAACAUAAUGAUAUUAUCUGUUCAAUAACCUUGUUGUAGUGGAUAGGUAGCUACAAGUACCACUGUUUGUGGCAGGCUUAUAAACAUUAAACACUACCCACAAGUGUUGUUAAAUAGAGGAUGUAGCAUGUUGUAGCACUAUAGCGUACUAUAAUUUUUAGCAUAGUUUCACCAUCUUCAAAACUAAGCAAACGUGUUUCCCAACAUCUUCAUAAUUCAUAAAACCUUGUUUUGAGACUUCAAAACAUGGUUUAGGCGCUGCCUAUGUUGUUAAUAUCAGAUAGCGGCGCAUCACGUGAAACCCCAAAAAUGAUAUAGUGAAUAGCGGGAUGGCCGCUAUUGUGAAGACUAAAAAACAAUGUACGAAGUAAACAUAAAUUCCAACAAGAUACAUAAAUACUGAAAAUACAAAAAAAAAAAAAA